rnacentral:tRNA from 2 species
GGCGGCGUAGCUCAGUUGGUCAGAGCAGGGGAAUCAUAAUCCUCGAGUCGUAGGUUCGAAUCCUACCGCCGCUACCA